rnacentral:rRNA from 1 species
CUACGGGCUGCAGCAGUGAGGAAUUUUGCGCAAUGGGGGAAACCCUGACGCAGCAACGCCGCGUGAGCGAAGAAGGCCUUCGGGUCGUAAAGCUCUGUCAAGUGGGAAAAAAAUUCUUUGAUGAACAGUCAAAGGACUUGAUGGUACCACUGGAGGAAGCACCGGCGAACUCCGUGCCAGCAGCCGCGGUAAUACGGGGGGUGCAAGCGUUGUUCGGAAUUACUGGGCGUAAAGAGCGUGUAGGCGGUUUGACAAGUCAGAUGUGAAAGCCCCGGGCUCAACCCGGGAAGUGCAUUUGAAACUGUUUCACUAGAGUAUGGGAGAGGAGAUUGGAAUUCCUGGUGUAGAGGUGAAAUUCGUAGAUAUCAGGAGGAACACCCGUGGCGAAGGCGAUUCUCUGGACCAAUACUGACGCUGAGACGCGAAAGCGUGGGGAGCAAACAGGAUUAGAUACCCUGGUAGUC